AGUGAACGCUGGCGGUAGGCCUAACACAUGCAAGUCGAACGGCAGCACAGUAAGAGCUUGCUCUUACGGGUGGCGAGUGGCGGACGGGUGAGGAAUACAUCGGAAUCUACUUUUUCGUGGGGGAUAGCGUAGGGAAACUUACGCUAAUACCGCAUACGACCUACGGGUGAAAGCAGGGGAUCUUCGGACCUUGCGCGAUUGAAUGAGCCGAUGUCGGAUUAGCUAGUUGGCGGGGUAAAGGCCCACCAAGGCGACGAUCCGUAGCUGGUCUGAGAGGAUGAUCAGCCACACUGGAACUGAGACACGGUCCAGACUCCUACGGGAGGCAGCAGUGGGGAAUAUUGGACAAUGGGCGCAAGCCUGAUCCAGCCGUACCGCGUGGGUGAAGAAGGCCUUCGGGUUGUAAAGCCCUUUUGUUGGGAAAGAAAAGCAGCAGGUUAAUACCCCGCUGUUCUGACGGUACCCAAAGAAUAAACACCGGCUAACUUCGUG
rnacentral:rRNA from 1 species